rnacentral:lncRNA from 1 species
AUAACAAAAGAUUUUGUGGUAUCCACUUGUGUAAAUAUUUUAAAUUGACGAUCAAAUUCAUUCAUUGUAUUCGUAUAGGGUCAAGGAGUGUAGUAGUAAAAAAUCAUCAAAAUCGGAGUUAAAACAACCACUAAAUCGUGAUUUUUUGUUUUAUAACCAUCGAAACGUUUUGUCUCAUUUCUUGAUCAAUGAAUGUUUUUAUUUGUGAUUUUUGGCGUAUGCGAUCUCAAAGCAUAUACAAACAAGUUUGACUGUUGGAUCGUUAAAAUUAGUUUCAUAGAAUUCGUAUCCCAUUAAAACGAUAGAUUCACUAACACUUACAGUUUAUUUAUCCUUUCCUUCAGUAUAACUCAAGAUUUUGUGAUAUCCACUUGUGUAAAUAUUUUAAAUUGACGAUCAAAUUCAUUCAUUGUAUUCGUAUAGGGUUAAGGAGUGUAGUUGUAAAAAAUCCUCAAAAUCCAAACAAAUUUGACGGUUGGAUCUCGAAGCAUAUACAAACUAGUUUGACGGUUGGAUCGUUACAAUUAGUUUAAUAGAAUUCGUAUCCCAUCAAAACGAUAGAUUCACUAACACUUAGAGUUUAUUUAUACUUUCAUUAAGUAUAA